UUGCUAGUGAGACCCCAUGUUUAAUAAAAUAGAAUGUAGUAACUAGGUUAUUAUACCUAGUCAAAAGUUUAGCAAAGCAAACAAGGGAACAAACUUGAGGGACCAUAUAUGAACAAGGGGGAAAGUUAUGUUUUAAUAAACAAAAUCAUAACACACAACACACAUACAUCGUGUGUGUGUGCGUGGAAUGCUCUGGAGAAGAACAAAGGGGUGUAAACCCUAGUUCUUAAAGAAGUUCCAAAUUGAAGGUUGAAUCGAAGCUCAAAAUCAUGAAUAAACACGGAUUAAUGCUCACCAUCACAAGAGGAUCAAAAGGAUAGGAAUCACAUUAGCAUGGACUCAAGAACGGAAGGUUAACGGGUCAAGCGGAGGCGAGGAAUCAAGCAUGAACACUAACGCUUAAGGUACUAUAUUGAAGUUUCGUCAAGGAUUAGACACCCGAAUGGAAUGAAUAAUUCUAGAAGGAUGAUGUGAUGGAAAGUAAAUGUGGAUAGAACGUAACGAGGUUACAUGAUUAAGAAUCUCGCUCGUAUAUAACGUGUACUAAUGUUGUGAAUAUAUGUGGUGGGUGCAGGUUGUACAAAUCACAGAUUAUCACCAUGAGGUGUAGCGAUCAAGACCGAGUCACGAGAUAGAUUGUACGGGAAUGUUUGAUUAUGUAAAAUGAUAGUUAUAAGUUAUGCUUUUAAUAUGUAAAAGAGUACAAAAGAUGCAUAUAUUGUAAGAAGGUAUUUCAUAAUGAACUUGCAAGUAGGUCAAAACGUUUUUAAUGAAAGAAAUUUUUAUGGUACGAA